rnacentral:rRNA from 1 species
UACGUAGGGGGCUAGCGUUGUCCGGAUUUAUUGGGCGUAAAGAGCGCGUAGGCGGCCGAGUAAGUCCGACGUGAAAUCUGGAGGCUCAACCUCCAGCGGUCGUUGGAAACUACUCGGCUAGAGUCCGGAAGAGGAGAGUGGAAUUCCUGGUGUAGCGGUGAAAUGCGCAGAUAUCAGGAAGAACACCGAUGGCGAAGGCGGCUCUCUGGGACGGUACUGACGCUGAGACGCGAAAGCGUGGGGAGCGAACAGG